UACACUCGGCGGAUCACAGGUGUCCUGCCGCCGCACACGCAGCGGGCAGGGUGAAACGGGAAGCCGGUGCGGAUCGCGAGAUCCCAUGCCGGCGCUGCCCCCGCAACGGUAGGCGAGAACACCCGACGACGUAACCACUGCGCGAUGCGCGGGAAGGUGUCGGGGUGGUGCGGCAUGCACCGCUCGCAAGCCCGGAGACCGGCCUGUGCAGGUGCCCCCAG
rnacentral:ncRNA from 2 species